UUCACCUAUUCAGAUUAAUUACUUAAGAUGGUCUUAUGGUUUUGAGAUAUUGUGCGACUAUUGUAUGUUAAAUGGCAGCUCCAGCGGCAGCAUCGCGCGUGAAGGGCAUGCGAUGGUGAACACCCUCAAGUGCCCUCUGUUUAUACCAGGGAGAUAAGCCGGAGCUUGAUGAGCUCGAAUUACUUGAUGAGAACAUGAAGUAAUCUCUUCAUGAGGGAGAGAAUAACGUUCAAUUAGUAGCAACGAGGCGCGGUUCAUCAAUUGUGGAAGACAAGUGUAUGUAGUAUGUACCCGCACCUGUAAUAUGUAUUGAUUAUUCAUUCGGCUUCAAUUGGUUUUUGUUUUGUUACAUGAACAAGAAAUUAAGACACUUGAGAGUUGAGAAGAACUGUAACUCUUAUGCACCCGUAGAUUUCACAGGCCAUUGUUGACACUGUCAUUGAAAUUGUUGUUGUGCUACAAGGAGUUGGUACCAAAUCUUGAAUGGAACACUUAUUGAGACUUA